rnacentral:lncRNA from 1 species
AUGAUGUUUCUAGAGACAAUAUCCCUCUUCAUCACUCAAUACCUAGGUUUACCUCCACUGUACUCACAUCCUACCUUACCUUUGUCUGUACAUUAUACCUUGAUGCUAUUUUAUCACCCCCAGAAACCUCCUUUUACUCUCUGUUCCAGACGUUCUAAACGACCAAUUCUUAUUGCUUUUAGCCGCACCCUUAUUCUACUCCUACUCUGUUCAUCUGGCGAUGUAGAGGUGAAUCCAGGCCCUGCAGUGCCUAGCUCCACUCCUAUUCCCCAGGCGCUCUCUUUUGACGACUUCUGUAACCGUAAUAGCCUUGGUUUCAUGCAUGUUAACAUUAGAAGCCUCCUUCCUAAGUUUGUUCUAUUCACUGCUUUAGCACACUCUGCCAACCCGGAUGUUCUAGCUGUGUCUGAAUCCUGGCUUAGGAAGACCACCAAAAAUUCAGACAUUUUAAUUCCAAACUACAACAUUUUCAGACAAGAUAGAACUGCCAAAGGGGGCGGUGUUGCAAUCUACUGCAAAGAUAGCCUGCAGAGUUCUGUCCUACUAUCCAGGUCUGUACCCAAACAAUUUGAACUUCUACUUUUAAAAAUCCACCUCUCUAAAAACAAGUCUCUCACCGUUGCCGCCUGCUAUAGACCACCCUCUGCCCCCAGCUGUGCUCUGGACACCAUAUGUGAACUGAUUGCCCCCCAUCUAUCUUCAGAGCUCGUGCUGCUAGGCGACCUAAACUGGAACAUGCUUAACACCCCAGCCAUCCUACAAUCUAAACUUGAUGCCCUCAACCUCACACAAAUUAUCAAUGAACCUACCAGGUACCUCCCCAAAGCCUUAAACACGGGCACCCUCAUAGAUAUCAUCCUAACCAACUUGACCUCUAAAUACACCUUUGCUGUUUUCAACCAAGAUCUCAGCGAUCACUGCCUCAUUGCCUGCAUCCGUAAUGGGUCAGCGGUCAAACGACCUCCACUCAUCACUGUAAAACGCUCCCUGAAACACUUCAGCGAGCAGGCCUUUCUAAUCGACCUGGCCGGGGUAUCCUGGAAGGAUAUUGAUCUCAUCCCGUCAGUAGAGGAUGCCUGGAUAUUUUUUUUAAAUGCCUUCCUAACCAUCUUAAAUAAACAUGCCCCAUUCAAGAAAUUUAGAACCAGGAACAGAUAUAGCCCUUGGUUCUCCCCAGACCUGACUGCCCUUAACCAACACAAAAACAUCCUAUGGCGUUCUGCAUUAGCAUCGAACAGCCCCCGUGAUAUGCAGCUGUUCAGGGAAGCUAGAAACCAUUAUACACAGGCAGUUAGAAAAGCCAAGGCUAGCUUUUUCAAGCAGAAAUUUGCUUCCUGCAACACUAACUCAAAAAAGUUCUGGGACACUGUAAAGUCCAUGGAGAAUAAGAACACCUCCUCCCAGCUGCCCACUGCACUGAAGAUAGGAAACACUGUCACCACUGAUAAAUCCACCAUAAUUGAGAAUUUCAAUAAGCAUUUUUCUACGGCUGGCCAUGCUUUCCACCUGGCUACUCCUACCCCGGUCAACAGCACUGCACCCCCCACAACAACUCGCCCAAGCCUUCCCCAUUUCUCCUUCUCCCAAAUCUGCUCAGCUGAUGUUCUGAAUGAGCUGCAAAAUCUGGACCCCUACAAAUCAGCCGGGCUAGACAAUCUGGACCCUUUCUUUCUAAAAUUAUCUGCCAAAAUUGUUGCCACCCCUAUUACUAGCCUGUUCAACCUCUCUUUCGUGUCGUCUGAGAUUCCCAAAGAUUGGAAAGCAGCUGUGGUCAUCCCCCUCUUCAAAGGGGGUGACACUCUUGACUGCUAA